rnacentral:rRNA from 1 species
UACGUAGGGGGCAAGCGUUGUCCGGAUUUAUUGGGCGUAAAGCGCGUGUAGGCGGCCACACAGGUCCGCUGUGAAAACUCGAGGCUCAACCUCGAGCUGUCGGUGGAAACCGUGUGGCUAGAGUCCGGAAGAGGAGACUGGAAUUCCUGGUGUAGCGGUGAAAUGCGCAGAUAUCAGGAGGAACACCGGUGGCGAAGGCGGGUCUCUGGGCCGAUACUGACGCUGAGGAGCGAAAGCGUGGGGAGCAAACAGG